AGUCAACCUAACUCGUGGACGUGGAUAACCUCGGGAAACUGAGAAUAAACCACGAUAGAUCAUGGUGCCUGGAAUGGCUUAUGGUCCAAACAGUUUACUGCCAUGGGAUGGGACUGCGGCCUAUCAGCUUGUUGGUGAGGUAAUGGCCCACCAAGGCGAUUACAGGUACGGGCUCUGAGAGGAGAAGCCCGGAGAUGGGUACUGAGACACGGACCCAGGCCCUAUGGGGCGCAGCAGGCGAGAAACCUUAGCAAUGUGCGAAAGCACGACUGGGUCAGUCCGAGUGAUUCCUGAUAAAGGAGUCUUUUGCUUGUCCUAAAAGCACAGGUGAAUAAGGGGUGGGCAAGUCUGGUGUCAGCCGCCGCGGUAAUACCAGCACCUCGAGUGGUCAGGACGUUUAUUGGGCCUAAAGCAUCCGUAGCCGGCUUUGCAAGUCUUCGGUUAAAUCCACCUGCUCAACAGAUGGGCCGCUGGAGAUACUACAGAGCUAGGGAGUGGGAGAGGCAGACGGUAUUCAGUGGGUAGGGGUAAAAUCCUCUGAUCCAUUGAGGACCACCAGUGGCGAAGGCGGUCUGCCAGAACACGUUCGACGGUGAGGGAUGAAAGCUGGGGGAGCAAACCGGAUUAGAUACCCGGGUAGUCCCAGCUGUAAACGAUGCAAACUCGGUGAUGCAUUGGC
rnacentral:rRNA from 1 species